AACUUAAGAAUAACUGCUCUUAUCUUUUCAUUUUUUUGUAAGAGGAAAUAUUAUUAAAUAUUUGUGAGAUUAUUAAAUAUUCCUUUUCUCGAAAAGAAAAAUCUUGAAGCCCAAGUUUGUGACCUUGUAUGAGUUCCCAUUCAAAAAGGCCCAUCAUGCCAAAUGUUCAAAUUUCCAAAUCUUGUGUCUGAAACAGUUUCCAAACUCAACUGUAAAUAGAGUGUUAAUAGAGUGGAGCAAUUUGAUAAAUAAACGAAAACAAUCAAUAUCUCAUUGCUGACGUAAUAAAUAGACAACAAAGAAUGGAUCGAUAUAUAUAUAUGAUACAAUAUAUCAUUCAUCACCUCUCAUCACCUCCCACAACAAAUUAAUAUAUCAGCCAAAACUCCUCAUCAAUGGAGAAAGAAUAAAAAUAAUAAUUAAUGUUUCAAGAAACCAAGAAGGGAGACAACAAGGGAGAAUCCAACAAUGGCACCAGAGACUGGCAAAGAGAACCCAGCUCCAGCAUCCAUCGGUGCUGGUGCAGGAGCCAUCUCGCUUUCUUGAGCAGAAACAACAGCGAAUGUAACAAUCACUAGGAGGAGCAAGAAUGCCCGGGAGAGAGUAACCUGAGUGGCAGCCAUUGCUAAUAAUACAAAGAGAAUGGAGAGAAGAAAAGGAGAGAGAUUGAUGUGUUUUCUUUGUAAAGCUUAGGUCUGGGAGCUUGGCUUUAGACAAAGAGAAUGUGUUUGUGUUUCUGAACUAGGUUAAACUCUCUAUUUAUAGGAGGUUUAUGUGGCCAGUGGGUCCUAAAAGGUAUCCUUUGCCUUUAUUUUUUUAGUACUUUAUUAACGACUAGAAACUUUAAAUUUUCUGGAAUAAUAAUCGGCUGGCAACGUUCACCUAACUGUAACAACAGCUAGCUGUCUUUUUUAUGCGUGAAAGUUAUACAGACUGUGACCAAAAAAGUUAACAGAGUAUGACACGUGGGUUUGAUAAGUAGUCUAGGUGUUUCGGUGGUGGGGACGCAGCAUUGUUGCCCGACACGUUGCAGCAGUUGUGCGAUCUGUGAGAAAAUGAAUGUCGGCAAGUUCUUGAAUGUUUGUUUUUGUUUUAAGAACCAGCAUAUUUUAAAAAUAUAUUUAGUUUUUAAGAUUAUUAAAUUAAUAUUUUUUAAAUGAUUUAAUGAUAUUUUUAUGUACUCAUAUUAAAAAUAAAAAAAUAUUUAAAUAUAUUUUUAAUUAAAAAAUGUUUAUCACAGUACCAAACAUUUCUAGCCCAUCAUUCAAGGUGAGAUAGAUGUAAAACUUUAAUGAUUUUUUUUCAAAUUAUUAUGGGUUGGCAUUUUUUAUUGGUUGGUUUGAUUUACAGUUUUAGUUAUAAUGAAUCAAGGUAUUUUAUUUAUGAUUCAUUUGCUUCAAGAAAUCCAUGAUUGAAAGGGCUAAAUGCAAGAUACUAAUACAAUAUACUUGGGUUUGGUAGAAAGUUAAACCCAAAUAACAUGGCUCUGGUAAAAUAUCAGAACCAAUAUUUUUUUGUUUAGCCACGUGCAGAGCUCAAGAGCAUAUAUAUAUAUAUAUAUAUAUAUAGCAAGAUGUCAUACCCAAUUCCUUGGACUCAGCUACACAUUGAGCCCAAGUACUUCUAGGUCUGGCAAGAUACUAGAGUCAACACUCUUAAAUUCUGCCACACGCUGAUCUCAAGUGCAUAUUAGUCUGGUACGAUGUUAAAUCCAACAUUCUUUGAUUUGGAAUCAUUCCAAGACCAGAUACAUAUAGAAUUGAUAGUCUUUAUAGGCCUCAUAUCGAGUUACAAAGCUAUUUUUAUGAUUCUAAGAAUCUAGAAUAGUCAUUUCUCUACACCUCUCUAUAUAUAAAAAUCUUUCAACAACAUCUCAUGUUCCAAUUAACAUUAAUGUUGAUAUAAGAGUUAUUUCCAUCAAUAUUAAUAUUGUGUAAGAGAUAUUUAGAUCAACAUAUUAUUAUUGAUGUAAUGGUUAUUUCCAUUAACAAACAAAACAACGAGGUUCAAGAAGUAUAAAUAAUAUUUUUUUUAGUUGAAGGGAAAUAUCUAAAUACAUAUCUUAUUCUUUUCAAUAAUUUUAUAUUUAUAGCAAUUAAAUACUAUUUUUACUCCCCUAAUUGAUUAAUGAUUGAUUAUAAAUAUCUAUGAUCUAUAUUCUCUAUAAAUAAAAGUAAAAAAAUGGAAAAGAAUAAAGUUAUAAAGGAUUCGAAAUAUUUUAUUCGAUCACAUAUCAUUGAAAAAAUAGAUUAACAUAAAUACGACAAUAAAAAAAGAUAAUACAAAAAUAUAUAAACUAUAAAAACAAGUCAAAGUGAAUUGUUAUACACUAGGAGCACUGAAAAAUAUCCUCUUAGCCUUUCAGAACAAACACCCUAUUUUCAUACCUUUUGAUACAAAUUACGAAAAGACAAAAUUGAAUGUACCAAUUUAGAUGUGAUUUGCUUACUGAAUGCCUUAUAUUUGUUUUUACAAAACAUUAUUUCAUGUUAUACACCAAACUAAACAAGUCGGGAUGUUGGCUCAUCUCCUUCACUGUGAAAGUGGUCCUUUUUUUUUUUAAUUAUUGUUAAUAUGAAUUUAGAUGCCUUCACUGUGUUUAUCUAGUGAAGCCCAAGUUUGUGAUCUUAUAUGAAAUCCCAUUUACAAAAGGCCCAUCAUGCCAUUUGUUCAAAUUUCCAAAUCUUGUGUUUAAAACAGUUUCCAAACGCAACUGUAAAUAGAGUGUUAAUAGAGAGUGGAGCGAUUUGAUAAAUAACGAAAACAAUCAAUAUCUCAUUGCUGGCGUAAUAAAUAGACAACAAAGAAUGGAUCGAUAUAUAUAUAUAUAUAUGAUACAAUAUAUCAUUCACCUCUCAUCACUCUCCCACAACAAAUUAAUAUAUCAGCCAAAACUCCUCAUCAAUCGAGAAAGAAAUAAAAUAAUAAUUAAUGUUUCAAGAAACCAAGAAGGGAGACAACAAGGGAGAAUCCAACAAUGGCACCAGAGACUGGCAAAGAGAACCCAGCUCCAGCAUCCAUCGGUGCUGGUGCAGGAGCCAUCUCGCUUUCUUGAGCAGAAACAACAGCGAAUGUAACAAUCACUAGGAGGAGCAAGAAUGCCCGGGAGAUAGUAACCUGAGUGGCAGCCAUUGCUAAUGAUACAAAGAGAUUGGAGAGAACAAAAAAAGAGAGAUUGAUGUGUUUCUUUGGAAAGCUUAGGGCUGGAGCUUGGCUUUAGACAAGGUGUAUGUGUUUAUGUUUUCUGACCUAGGUUAAACUCUAUAUUUAUAGGAGGUUUGUGUGGCUAGU
rnacentral:lncRNA from 1 species